CAGUAGCCGCGGUAAUACGAAGGGGGCUAGCGUUGUUCGGAUUUACUGGGCGUAAAGCGCACGUAGGCGGACUUUUAAGUCAGGGGUGAAAUCCCGGGGCUCAACCCCGGAACUGCCUUUGAUACUGGAAGUCUUGAGUAUGGUAGAGGUGAGUGGAAUUCCGAGUGUAGAGGUGAAAUUCGUAGAUAUUCGGAGGAACACCAGUGGCGAAGGCGGCUCACUGGACCAUUACUGACGCUGAGGUGCGAAAGCGUGGGGAGCAAACAGGAUUAGAUACCCGCGUAGUCCCUGUCUCUUAUAA
rnacentral:rRNA from 1 species